UACGUAGGGCGCAAGCGUUAUCCGGAAUUAUUGGGCGUAAAGGGCUCGUAGGCGGUCUGUUGCGUCGGGAGUGAAAACUUACAGCUUAACUGUGAGCGUGCUUCCGAUACGGGCAGACUUGAGGUAUUCAGGGGAGAACGGAAUUCCUGGUGUAGCGGUGAAAUGCGCAGAUAUCAGGAGGAACACCGGUGGCGAAGGCGGUUCUCUGGGAAUAUCCUGACGCUGAGGAGCGAAAGUGUGGGGAAGCGAACAGG
rnacentral:rRNA from 1 species